UGUUAGUUCCCACGGGCGGACGGAAAUAAAAUCAACAGGUCGGUGGUGGUCCAAUGCAUGUGGUCGUUAUAGGCACAGAGAUCAAAGUAAAAUUGCUGCUGCUGUACACAAAAUGGGGAUCAAAUUUUCGUGAGCUCUUUUCCAGCGAGUUUGCGACGCAGAUAUUUAUUUUCCGUUUGAAGCAUCAUCGUCAUCAUCAACAACAACUGAUUGACGGAAGAGACGCCCACACGACACGGUCAGAAGCAAACUGCACCCACCGACCAUGUUAUCUUCUUGGAGGCAUUCAGCAUAUGUGCAAUAUCACGGCACCACGGAGGUCUCUUAUUCAUGUACAUGUGUACUUAUUAUCAUCAGCAGUUGUAAGGGAAGCAUAUACCAGCAGCAGCAGCGUGUGCCAAUAUUGAAUGAACGAUGAAUGGAUGGAUGGAUGGAAGCGAGGAGUCGUCAUUGUCAUUUGCUUGGUAUUUGCUCCUGCUUUCAAGAAGAAGCAGCGUCUCUAAAGGAGUCACAUACACUGGGAGGGAGGCGACGACGAUGAUAUCCAGCCGUCGCCGUCCUCCUCAAGAGUGAGAACUAACAAGAAAAAGUUGUCCUCCAUCCAUCCGCGGGUUGGAUGAGGACAAGUCAAUACAAUCAAUGUGAAUAAUGCAACAGCACAGCAACCUCGAUUGAUUUCAUUUGGUUAUCAUUAUUGAGGACAUGUUGAAGGCUUUCUUCUCAGCCUCCUGCUCCGCUCCUGCUCAAAAUUGUGUUAUUUAUUUAUUUCUUGUGUAGCUGAUGAUGAUGUGAAACCUUAUUACACAAAUAUUUAUGUAGAAGAGCAAUGAAAGAAAUAUUAUUUUUCACUACUUUUCGGAGACUUUUGUCCCAUUGUGAGCCUUAUCUACACCGUAUUGAAUUGAUUUUGAAAGGAAGUUGGGUGCCAAACCGGCUCCUCAGUCCAAUCCAAUGUCUGGGUUUUCGUAGGUGCACAUUCACGAUAUAACGUUUAGACACUGCCA